rnacentral:tRNA from 1 species
GCCUGGGUGGCUCAGUCGGUUGAGCAUCUGACUUUGACUCAGGUCAUGAUCUUGGGGUCCUGGGAUCAAGCCCUGCAUCAGGCU